AAUAAUCAACGAGAAACGACAAACUGCAAAAAAAAAGGUUUUGGCAGAAGUUCAGAUUUUGCAUCAGUUCAUUUCAUGUUAGACGCAAAGCGUUGUUUUCCUUGGAAUUUUUAUAACUGGCAGCAGUGACAGUUCGUGUAUCUCAUGGACGAAGUAAGUAGUUAAUGUUUUGAACAUAUAGAUUCACUCAUGUUAGUCCUUCCAGAAUAAAACAAAGAAAAGCACAUGGAAAAUUAAUAAUCCAAAUACUCAACCUUUUUUCUUAUAUCAAAGCACGGAAA